rnacentral:rRNA from 1 species
UUAGUUAAUUGUGAAAUCCCAAAGCUUAACUUUGGAACUGCAAUUAAAACUGCUCGACUAGAGUUUGAUAGAGGAAAGCGGAAUACAUAGUGUAGAGGUGAAAUUCGUAGAUAUUAUGUAGAACACCAGUUGCGAAGGCGGCUUUCUGGAUCAACACUGACGCUGAGGCGCGAAAGUAUGGGUAGCAAAGAGGAUUAGAUACCCUCGUAGUCCAUACCAUAAACGAUGAUUGCUAGAUGUUGGAAAUUUAUUUUCAGUAUCGCAGCUAACGCAUUAAGCAAUCCGCCUGGGGAGUACGGCCGCAAGGUUAAAACUCAAAUGAAUUGACGGGGACCCGCACAAGCGGUGGAGCAUGUGGUUUAAUUCGAAGAUACGCGCAGAACCUUACCAACCCUUGACAUGUCUGUCGCGAGUUUAGGAAACUAGACUUUUCGGUUCGGCCGGACAGAACACAGGUGCUGCAUGGCUGUCGUCAGCUCGUGUCGUGAGAUGUUGGGUUAAGUCCCGCAACGAGCGCAACCCCUACUUUUAGUUGCCAUCAGGUCAUGCUGGGCACUCUGAAAGAACUGCCAGUGAUAAGCUGGAGGAAGGUGGGGAUGACGUCAAGUCCUCAUGGCCCUUACGGGUUGGGCUACACACGUGCUACAAUGGUAGUGACAAUGAGGUGCAAAGUGGCGACGCUAAGCUAAACUCAAAAAUCUACUUCAGUUCGGAUUGCACUCUGCAACUCGAGUGCAUGAAGCUGGAAUCGCUAGUAAUCGUAGAUCA